ACCAGGUGCUGAGCCAGGUGUUCUACAUAAAUUAUCUCAUUUGUUUUUUCUGACAACAUAAUAAGAAAAAGAAAAACAUCCAUUCAUGAGAGUUCAGGGAUACGUGAAAAUGAAGCAAAUGAGGAAAGACCCAUUCACAUUCCUCCAAAAGAUCUGUGGCUCACUGGAAUCAUGUUACUGGCUCCUGGUAGUCCCUGACUUUACCUGUUUGUUCCAGGAACUUGCUUUAUGGCCAUUUGUUCUAAUGAUCAGUUUGGACAACCAACCUUUAUUCCUCCACCUCAGACAAUAUUCAACAUCCUGUAAUCAUCAUAGCGCCAACUUAUGACUGCAAUUGAUGAAUGAAUGUAGUUCCA
rnacentral:lncRNA from 10 species